GAGAGAGUAUCCUUGUAGAACUGCUAAUUCUAUAACCCAAGAUUAAACCCUUGGCCCUCUCC
rnacentral:tRNA from 1 species